GCCUCGGUAGCGCAGUAGGCAGCGUGUCAGUCUCACAAUCUGGAGAUCGUGAGUUCGAUCCUCACCCGGGGCA